rnacentral:lncRNA from 1 species
CCCCACGAAAUAGUGCCUCCAAGAAACUUGCCUGCAACAGAGCAAUAAUAAUACAGAAAGCAACGAACAUCCAUCCUAAACAAAAUGCUCUUAAAAAAAAUGAUGAUUUACACAAUUAGAAUUGCUAUCAAAUGCAGAAAAACCGUAACUCAAAGAACAAGUCCUUUACAAAAUUGAUGGUACCUUGCCCUAAGGCUUAUCCCAACCUAUGUAGCCCCUGAGCACCUGCAGCAACAAGUAAUAAUUGACGUCUACCUCAUCAAGAGUACGAAUAAAAUGGCACUUCAUAUAUCAGAAUCACUAUCAAAGGCUUUACAAACCCCAUCUAUACAAAUCAUUUCUUUCGAACAAUGAUAAUCCAUGGUCUUUAAUUCUGAUCACUGAUUAACAACCGAGCCAAAGGUAUAUGGAGACAACAGGCAUUAUUUAGAAGUGUUGAGUUAAAAUAGAACUAAGUUGGAAAGAACCCCUUGAAUUAAAGAUUAUACCCUCCAAAUGUCAUCAACACAUUGUGCCAGACCUGACUGACACGAAAACCAGGCGACAGGAAUGGAUCACCAAAACAAUGACAGCAUUCCUCAAACCAAAUCUACCAAAAGUUUCUUCCCUAAAAAAUAAAAAAGCUAGACCACCAUUCAACACAACACACAACUAAUGCAACCAUCUGAAAAACUGCAACAGCAGUAGAACUGACAAAUAGCAUCUACCAUGACAAGUGAAAACAAAGAAGAAAAAACGAAAUCGAGAAAGCAGGAAUCAGCAAAUGGUGACAGAGACCACCAAGGCCACAUUUGGAGGGGGG